rnacentral:rRNA from 1 species
AACGAACGCUGGCGGCAGGCCUAACACAUGCAAGUCGAGCGCGCCCUUCGGGUGAGCGGCGGACGGGUUAGUAACGCGUGGGAAUAUGCCCAAAGGUACGGAAUAGCCUCUGGAAACGGAGAGUAAUACCGUAUGUGCCCUUCGGGGAAAGAUUUAUCGCCUUUGGAUUAGCCCGCGUUAGAUUAGGUAGUUGGUGGGGUAAUGGCCUACCAAGCCUACGAUCUAUAGCUGGUUUUAGAGGAUGAUCAGCAAACACUGGGACGUGAGACACGGCCCAGACUCCUACGGGAGGCAGCAGUGGGGAAGUCUUGGACAAUGGGGGCGAACCCUGAUCCAGCCAUGCCGCGUGAGUGAUGAAGGCCUUAGGGUCGUAAAGCUCUUUCGCCUGUGAAGAUAAUGACGGUAGCAGGUAAAGAAACCCCGGCUAACUCCGUCGCCAGCCGCCGCGGUAAU